rnacentral:rRNA from 1 species
UACGUAGGCAGCAAGCGUUGUUCGGAAUUACUGGGCGUAAAGAGUGUGUAGGCGGUGCUCCAAGUCUGGUAUGAAAUCUCCCGGCUCAACUGGGAGGGUGCGCUAGAAACUGGAAUGCUAGAGGAUGGGAGAGGUAAGCGGAAUUCCUGGUGUAGCGGUGAAAUGCGUAGAUAUCAGGAGGAACACCUGUGGUGUAGACAGCUUACUGGACCAUUUCUGACGCUGAGACACGAAAGCGUGGGUAGCAAACAGG